rnacentral:rRNA from 1 species
CGGGGUGAGUAAUGUAUGGGGAUCUGCCUGAUGGCGGGGGAUAACUACUGGAAACGGUAGCUAAUACCGCAUAAUGUCUACGGACCAAAGCGGGGGACCUCCGGGCCUCGCGCCAUCAGAUGAACCCAUAUGGGAUUAGCUAGUAGGUGAGGUAACGGCUCACCUAGGCGACGAUCCCUAGCUGGUCUGAGAGGAUGACCAGCCACACUGGAACUGAGACACGGUCCAG